UGGGGCCCAGGUAUGAGGGCUACAGUGAAGAAUUCAGCUGAGGAGAGCUGGCCACAUCGAAAAGAAAAGAAACAGAGGGAGUUACAAGACAGGAGCCUGUGGAGCCUGCCUCAGCAACAAAGACCUUGGUAAGUGAGUGACAAUAUGGGGCAAGAAAUGAGUUAACAUCAACUGUUUGUUGAAGGCCUCAUAAAGGCACUUAGGGCACAAAGGAUCAGGCUUAAAACACUGGAAUUGAUAAACUUUUUUGUCUUUAUUAAGGAAGUUUGUCCCU
rfam:Mesocricetus auratus contig181158, whole genome shotgun sequence.